ACACGACUACAUUAGAUACCCGCGUAGUCCUAGCCGUAAACGAUACUCGCUAGGUGUCGGCCACGGUGCGACCGUUGUCGGUGCCGUAGGGAAGCCGUGAAGCGAGCCACCGUGGGAAGUACGGCCGCAAGGCUGAAACUUAAAGGAAUUGGCGGGGAGCACCACAACGGGUGGAGCCUGCGGUUUAAUUGGACUCAACGCCGGGAAGCUCACCGGAUAAGACAGCGGAAUGAUUGCCGGGCUGAAGACCCUGCAUGACCAGCUG
rnacentral:rRNA from 1 species